AUUCUCUCCUCGCGUAACAAUUGUUUCUUCAGGCUGAGGUAAUGGAUUCGUUUCCUUGAGCUCACCAGAAAGGACGAGGUUUCGACAAGGACUUCCUGGCAUUUAUUCCUCUGACAUCUGGCAUACCACUGGCAGCAAUCAAGACAUACAACCUUGUCAUUUGGGAGAUUUGUUCGCCCAAAGGAAGACUUGAUGGUACUCACCGGUUAGAGCUUCAAAGGGCAUCUCCUCGAUACGUAAUAAAUGCUGGCUCUCCACCGUCAGUCCGUCCUCAGUAUGCAGGUGCGGCUGCUAUGGCUGCGCACAUCGUUAAGUGCUGCACACUCCACCUUCCCGCUGGACCACCCACCGGAGGUUAGCAUCGGGAGUCUCCAAGUCUUUUUUUUUUUUUAUCAUUAAACUAAGACUGUCAUACGUAAAUGUUUGUGUCACCCGCCAAAUUCAUAUGGUGAAACCUAAUCUCCAAUUGAUGGUAUUUGGAGGUAAAGCCUCUGGGAAGUGAUUAGGUCAUGAAGUCCUCAUGAAUGGAAGGAGCACUCUUAUAAAAGAAACUUCAGAGAACUCUCUGGCCCUUCUGCCAUGUAAGGAUACACGGAGAAGACUGCUGUGUGUGAAUCUUCACCAGACAUGGAAUCUAGUGAUCCAUGGUGAUCUUCCACUUCCCCACCUCUGAAACUGUGAGAAAUAAAUU